GGAGUGACAUCUGAGCUGGGAUCUGAAGGCAGCCAGAGGCUGAGGGUGAAAAAUGUCCAGGCUGAGGGAGCAGAUUAUGCAAAGGCCUAGGGGUGUGUGGGAGAGUGGGAUGUCCCGCAGAGAGCUCAUGUCCACCUGCUAUCCCCUUUGAGACCAGCUUCUUCUUGGGGACUCGGGACCUGUUCUGGGGGCCUUUUCUCACUUCUCCUAUGCCCAGAGACCCGAGCAAGCUGGGCACUUCUCUUAGGUGCUGCAGGCAAAGGGUCUCGGACCAGAAAGACAGGAAAGGCCAUCUUCCUGGACAGAAAGAAUGUCUUUGAUACCAAGUCCUCACUCAGAACACCAGGUUUCUGGCAAGAAAGACCCUGUCCCAGCCUCCCAGGUAGCUGAAAUUAUUGGCAUUUUCCACUGCAUCCGGGUCAGGCCUUCUUGAGUGCUGCCUCCAUCCCAGGCAGGUAGCACCCAGAAUGCCAGCUGCGGGUACAGCCGCGGAGGACGGAAGCAAGGAUCCAUAGACUGGCUGGACACCGUCCAGGCAAGCGCUUCCCUCACCGGGGAGACAUGCUGGGAGGCCUCUCCCCGAGUCGAGGAGGGUGGCGACAGCCCCGAGCCGUGCAGCCCCGCCAGUCGCUAGGUGCGGAUCCCCCUGGAAGCCUGCAGGGAUCAAGACCCUCCAACUCCGAUCUCGGAGACAGCGCCAGGGGAUGCUGCGGCCGGCGCCUAUAAAGCAGGGUCCGCCUAGAACUGCGCCUGGCACGUAGUGGGCGUGCAGUUUCCGUUUGCUGAAUGAACUCGAGGAAAGAAUGAAUGAAUGAAUGAGGUGUCCGGCGGGAGGCGGGGAGGUUGGCGUGAUGUGACGCCCCCUCGCCCCGCGCCGCAGUCCCGGGUACUUCCGCCUCUGUGGACGCGGGUGCCAGACAUGAGAGCCCCCGCUCUAGCUCCUCCUCUGGGCCGCAGAAGAGCUAGCAGGGCAAGCACGGGGGGCCCCCGGAGGUGGCUGGGCUCGGCGGUCUGAGCUGGCGGUAGCCAGUUCCGGGCCGAGCGAGGCGGCGGAGGCGUGGGGUGCGGGGCUCGCGGCCCAGCGCG